CCCACUAAGCUUCAGCUGUAGAAGAACCGUACCGCAAACCGACACAGGUAGGCAGGGUGAGAAUCCCAAGGCGCUUGAGAGAACUCGGGUGAAGGAACUAGGCAAGAUGGCACCGUAACUUCGGGAGAAGGUGCGCCUCUUGGUGUGGUCACGUGCGUGACUCAGCAUCGAGGGGUCGCAGUAACCUGGCCGCUGCGACUGUUUAUCAAAAACACAGCACUCUGCAAACACGAAAGUGGACGUAUAGGGUGUGACGCCUGCCCGGUGCUGGAAGGUUAAUUGAUGGGGUCAGCCGCAAGGCGAAGCUCUUGAUCGAAGCCCCAGUAAACGGCGGCCGUAACGAUACGGUCCUAAGGUAGCGAAAUUCCUUGUCGGGUAAGUUCCGACCUGCACGAAUGGCGUAACGACAGCGGCGCUGUCUCCACCCGAGACUCAGUGAAAUUGAAAUCGCUGUGAAGAUGCAGCGUUCCCGCGGCAAGACGGAAAGACCCCGUGAACCUUUACUAUAGCUUUACACUGAACGUUGAGUUCUUCUGUGUAGGAUAGGUGGGAGGCUAUGAAACCAGGACGCUAGUUCUGGUGGAGCCAUCCUUGAAAUACCACCCUGAAGUGCUUGACGUUCUAACCUAGGUCCGUAAUCCGGAUCGGGGACCGUGUAUGGUGGGUAGUUUGACUGGGGCGGUCUCCUCCCAAAGAGUAACGGAGGAGCACGAAGGUACGCUCAGCGCGGUCGGACAUCGCGCACUGUGUGCAAAGGCAUAAGCGUGCUUGACUGCGAGAUCGACGGAUCAAGCAGGUACGAAAGUAGGUCUUAGUGAUCCGGUGGUUCUGUAUGGAAGGGCCAUCGCUCAACGGAUAAAAGGUACUCCGGGGAUAACAGGCUGAUACCGCCCAAGAGUUCAUAUCGACGGCGGUGUUUGGCACCUCGAUGUCGGCUCAUCACAUCCUGGGGCUGUAGCCGGUCCCAAGGGUAUGGCUGUUCGCCAUUUAAAGUGGUACGCGAGCUGGGUUCAGAACGUCGUGAGACAGUUCGGUCCCUAUCUGUCGUGGGCGUUGGAGAUUUGAGGGGGGCUGCUCCUAGUACGAGAGGACCGGAGUGGACGUUCCGCUGGUGUUCGGGUUGUCAUGCCCAUGGCAUUGCCCGGUAGCUACGAACGGAAGUGAUAACCGCUGAAAGCAUCUAAGCGGGAAGCACGCCCCAAGAUGAGAUCUCCCGAGAGCUUGACUCUCCUAAAGGCACCAUCAAGACUAGGUGGUUGAUAGGCACGGUGUGGAAGUGCAGCAAUGCAUUGAGCUUACGUGUACUAAUGAGCCGUGAGGCUUGACC
rnacentral:rRNA from 1 species